AAGUUCAAUACGGAAGAAAACAUGAAGAGUUUCAUCAUGCUUUUUCUUUUUGCUGUGACAAUUUUUUUCACUUUGUUUGACCAUUCACUAGGUGAUGAUCCUAAAUUUUGUCCAGGAACUUUCACAGUUAAUGACGUAUGUGCUAAUAUUAGUUGUGGAUAUCAAGCUGUAUUUCAUUGGCCAGCAAGUAAAAUGCCUCAUAGUUGUGUUUGUACUGCUUCGGGAAGCAAUCAAAGUCUUUGUACUUGUCAAAUUGUUUGUGAUGCAAAAUAAUGUAAUAAAAGUGCUUAUUAUUGAUGUUGA